rnacentral:rRNA from 1 species
UACGAAGGGGGCUAGCGUUGCUCGGAAUCACUGGGCGUAAAGCGCGCGUAGGCGGGUCGUUAAGUCGGGGGUGAAAUCCUGGAGCUCAACUCCAGAACUGCCUUCGAUACUGGCGAUCUUGAGUCCGGGAGAGGUGAGUGGAACUCCGAGUGUAGAGGUGAAAUGCGUAGAUAUCGGGAGGAACACCAGUGGCGAAGGCGACUACCUGGCCUGUUCUUGACGCUGAGGCGCGAAAGCUAGGGGAGCAAACGGG